GUUCUUCAGAUGACUUCAGACAAAAUCAGGAGUGAUUUAGCAGAACUGAUUCUGCCCUGAGGAGGAGAAAGGAGUAACAGACCAGGGAGGAUCUUUCCCCACUCUUUUCUGUGAUUCUGUUCCUAUUUCGAUCCUCUGGGACCCAAAACUGUGCAGCAUUUUGCAUCUCAGAGUCAGCCUGAGAGAAGGUUACUGAAUGGAAAACAAGUUCGCCCAAGAAUAUGGGAGAUGAGUUUGCAGAAGGUGCUGGAGUAUUACUUGACAUCAUUAACUUGUGCUUUUAAUCAUAAGAAAUGUACCCGAGAAACCUGAGGCAUCCUUCUCUCCCCUGCUAAAAAAUGGCGUAAGAGCAUGUAAGAAAAAUGACUUCAGCCCCUUACGCCCCAUCCCUGUCACGGGUGCAAUGGGGUAACAGAUGAACAACUCAAUAUUUUCUUUAGAGCUUCCCUUCUCUUCCCACGGGCAGCCACGUGUCCCCCUGUCCCUGAAUUACACAGAGAGGACAGCCCUUAGCUGCCACCUCUCUGCUUCUGCCAGAGCUGUGCCAAUUAAAGAGACUUUUCUGUAUUUAUUAUGGAAGGGUUACUUACACCCAGUGACAUUUCUGCUGGCUGCUGUUAAAAUCCUCUCCGCUCUAAAGUCAGCAGCUUCAUCUCAGAGUGACAAACAAAACUGCUGAAGAAAAUGUCUCCUGAAGUGUUGAAUGUAGAAUUGUUUAAUGGUAAAUAAUACAGCCUGCAAAGUUAUGCAGGGAAAAUGGACUAAAACGAGAAAUCACAUUUAAAGUUCUUUGGGUUUUUGCUCUUCGCAGUUACAGGAAUUGAUCAUGGACAGUUUUUGAGAAGGGAAAGAAAACUCAAGGGAGACAAACACCAACACAUCUCAGGAACAAAAAAGACAGAGGUUUGAGAAAAGUGUUCUUUCCUUUACUUUCUAGUUCUGCUUAUUAUUUGUUGCUGUUUUGGUGUUUGGGUUUUUUUUUUUAUGAAACAAUGCAUUUCUUUUAUCUUCCCCUCUUCCUUUUCAUCUUCUUUCUUAAAUGUCUCAUUAGUUUCUGCUGUGGAGUUGUGCAAGAUGAAACGUUGUCAGCCUGUGCUGAUGAAUACCUCUCUGCAAACCUUACAUAAUCCAUCCCAGCCCCAAAUCAGAUGCUUCCUGCAGGUGGAAUGCUUGGGCUGGCUGCAUGGUAGAGGCCUGAGGAUGGUUCAGGAAAAUGUCCAUGGUGGAGCCAGAGGAGGCCUUGGGGGCUGCAGUGGUGAAGGCCUAAAUUUCCAAAUAUUUCAGUUUUCCUCGCUCUGUCCCGAGUGCCAGAGCAAAGGGACCUGCUUUUCUCUUCCCCGUUUCUCCCACUAG
rnacentral:lncRNA from 1 species